rnacentral:rRNA from 1 species
AUUUCCUACGGGAGGCAGCAGUAGGGAAUCUUCCACAAUGGGCGAAAGCCUGAUGGAGCAACGCCGCGUGGGUGAAGAAGGUCUUCGGAUCGUAAAACCCUGUUGUUAGAGAAGAAAGUGCGAGAGAGUAACUGUUCACGUUUCGACGGUAUCUAACCAGAAAGCCACGGCUAACUACGUGCCAGCAGCCGCGGUAAUACGUAGGGGGCAAGCGAUAUCCGGAUUUAUUGGGCGUAAAGGGAACGCAGGCGGUCUUUUAAGUCUGAUGUGAAAGCUUUCGGAUUAACCG